rnacentral:ncRNA from 1 species
GGCCGUAACUAUAACGGUCCUAAGAUAGAGAAAUUCCUUGUCGGGUAAGUUCCGACC